GGAAUAUAAUUAGGUCAACUGUAAGAUGAUGAGUUAUCAUUGAACUAGAGCCUGAUUAAGCCACAUGCAUUGAUGAGUCAUUUCUGUGCUAGGCUCUAGCCAGUCCCCAAGCCAAGAGCUGGUCUAGUGAUUCUCAGGGCAGGUGUCUAAGCCUCAAAGGCGAAACAGGAGGUUGUUACAGAUCAAUGAUGGGAGAAUGAACACUUCCAUGAAUCAUUUGCUGUCCAUUUGGGAUGUAACAGUGGGCAUGGAUCUGAUACCCAAGUCCAUCCAAUAGUCAUUUUAGGGUUUUUGACUAGAGGCUGGCAUACAUACCUGGACGAGGAAUAUGCAAAGAAAUAUACUAUGU